AACGUUUCUACUGUUUCAAGGAAUUGUAAAAAUGGUAGAAACAAAGGAGAAAAUGAAACAAAUGAAGAAAAAAGAAAAAAAAAACAAAAAACCAAAAAAACAAAAAAAAGGAAGGCAAGUUCAUCAUCAUCUGAGAGUGAAACAACUGAAAGUGAAGUCUAUUCUACCUCUGAGUCUGAGACUGAAAAAGACUCAGAAGAACCAACAAGAAAACAACCCACCCAAACAGCCAAAAAAAUGGAAUCCAAAAAAAGGAAGAAGAUUCAGGAGGAUUAUGAUUCAGAAUCUGAAUCAAAUGAUGAGUAAUGUUUUGAAAUUAUUAUUGCUUUCCUUUGGGUUUAUUAUCAAAAUUUCAUGUAUUAACAGAGCGUCUCUUAUUAACUUUUAGAAGCGAAGAAUCAUCACCAGUAGAGAAGCAAAAAACAAAGAAAAAGACUUAGAGAACACCACAAAAGACACAAUCUAAAAAGAAAAAGGUCAUUGUUGAGGAUUCAUCUCCUGAGCAAGCUCAAUCCUAUCAUGGGUACAGUACUUUGUAAGCUAUAUUACCGUUUAUCAUCAAAAUUAUAUUUGUUAACAUGUUCUUUUAUGCAUGUACUGUCAGAUCUGAAAUUGGAACUAAAGAAUUAGAAAAAUUCUUA